AAUUUGUUUUAUUUUUGUUAUUAAUCUUGUUUAAUGUUUAUUUUACAUGUAAAUUUUUGUAAGAAUAUUAAUUUACCUAAAAGGUAUUUUAUUUAAUAAUUAUUCGCAGUAAUUAAUAUUAUAAAUAAAAGAAAUUUUGAUUUAGUAAUAUAUUUUAGUAUUGGUAAAUUUUGUGCCAGCAACCGCGGUUACACAAAUAAUACAAAUAAGAUUUAUUAGUAAUAGUUAAUUUGAUAAAAAUAAAAUUAAUUUAAAUUUUUUAAGUGAAAUUUUAAAUUUAAUUACUUUUAUGUUUAAAAUUAAAUGAAGCUAAGAAAUUUUAAUUAUAAACUAGGAUUAGAUACCCUAUUAUUUAGAAUGUAAAUGUCAAUACUUGAGUAGUAAUAGUUAUGUUCUUCAAACUUAAAGAAUUUGGCGGUGUUUUAGUCUAUUUAGAGGAACCUGUCCUGUAAUCGAUAAUCCACGUUGGACCUUACUAAAAUUUGUUUUCAAUUUGUAUAUCGCCGUUAUCAGAAUAUCUUAAAAGAGUAAUAAUUUUCUUAAUUUAAUAAUAUAAUUGAUGUCAGGUCAAGGUGCAGUUUAUAUUUUAGUAGAGAUGGGUUACAAUAAAUUUAUUUAUACGUUAAAUUGUUUGAAAUAAUGAUUUUAAGGUGGAUUUAAAAGUAAAAUAAUGAAUAUAAUUUAUUUGAUUAUAGCUCUAAAACAUGCACACAUCGCCCGUCGCUCUCAUUAUUAAAAUGAGAUAAGUCGUAACAUAGUAGAAGUAUCGGAAGAUGCUUCUAGAAUGAC
rnacentral:ncRNA from 1 species